UACAGAGGGGGCAAGCGUUGUUCGGAAUUACUGGGCGUAAAGGGCGCGUAGGCGGCCUGCUAAGUCGAACGUGAAAUCCCUGGGCUCAACCCAGGAACUGCAUCCGAUACUGGCGGGCUUGAAUCCGGGAGAGGGAUGUGGAAUUCCAGGUGUAGCGGUGAAAUGCGUAGAUAUCUGGAGGAACACCGGUGGCGAAGGCGGCAUCCUGGACCGGUAUUGACGCUGAGGCGCGAAAGCUAGGGGAGUAAACGGG
rnacentral:rRNA from 1 species